rnacentral:rRNA from 1 species
AGCAGCCGCGGUAAUUCCAGCUCCAAUAGCGUAUAUUAAAGUUGUUGCAGUUAAAAGCUCGUAGUUGAAUUUCGAGAUCGGCUUACUGGUCGUGCUUUUGUACGUACUGGUAAAUCGGUUUCUCCUUUCUGACGAACUUUAAUGCCAUUAAUUUGGUGUUUUAGGGAAUCAGGACUGUUACUUUGAAAAAAUUAGAGUGUUUAAAGCAGGCUCACGCUUGAAUACAUUAGCAUGGAAUAACGGAAUAGGACGUUUGAUUCUAUUUUGUUGGUUUCUAGGAUCGACGUAAUGAUUAAUAGGGAUAGUUGGGGGCAUUAGUAUUCAAUUGUCAGAGGUGAAAUUCUUGGAUUUAUUGAAGACUAACUACUGCGAAAGCAUUUGCCAAGGAUGUUUUCAUUAAUCAAGAACGAAAGUUAGGGGAUCGAAGACGAUCAGAUACCGUCGUAGUCUUAACCAUAAACUAUGCCGACUAGGGAUCGGAUGAUGUUAAUUUUUUUAAUGACUCAUUCGGCGCCUUACG